UCUCCGUAGGUGAACCUGCGGAGGGAUCAUUACAGAGUUCAUGCCCCUACCGGGUAGAUCUCCCACCCUAUGUUAUUAUUACUUUGUUGCUUUGGCGGGCCGUUAGGCUCCGGCCCGACUACCGGCCCCGGCUGGUAAGCGCCCGCCAGAGGACCCAAAACCCUGAAUAUUAGUGUCGUCUGAGUACUAUAUAAUAGUUAAAACUUUCAACAACGGAUCUCUUGGUUCUG
rnacentral:misc_RNA from 1 species